rnacentral:lncRNA from 1 species
AAACAGAAAGUGAUUCCUUUUCUUUCACUUUUUGAGUGUACAAAUGCAAUUCAUAGGAAAAGUAGAAGAAGAAAAUUUUAUAUUAAUUGUGUUUGAUGUUACAGUGAAUCUCUCUUCUCACAAAUCUCUAAAAAAACUCUAAAAAAUCUCUUCUCAAAUUCGUGCCCCCUGGAUCUGAAAUUUCUUCAUGUAUUUAUAGGGAACCCGUGAGUAGAUCUUUCACCUUGCCAUUAAUAUUUAUGCAUCAUUUUUUCUCUAACUUCUGUUCAUCCAAGACAUAAGUUAAUAAUGAUGGCUGCAACUUGGCUUCGAGCGUGGGCGUCUGAAAUGAAAUGAUAAGGGACGAGUUUCAACACCUAGAGGCAUAAAUCGCGGAUCAUCCAUUACGUGUGAGUGAAGAUGGUGGUUUCGUGUUUGAGUAGAGAUGAUGAAAAAUAGGGGCGGUAAUGUCAGAGUAGGGUGUCUGUGGCAAGAUAAGGUAAAAAAACAGAUGAAGGAACCGUUUUUGUUGAAAAAGAAUGAGUAGAGUGAGCAGAGUAGAAAUGAAGGUGAAAGACAGAGGCUAGGUUUUCAUGAGGAGAGGAGAGUGAACCGGGUCAUGAGGUUUUCUUUCUUUCUUUCUUUUCUUCUUUCUCUCCCUCCUUUCCUUUUCUCCUUUCUGGCUG